AUGAGGGAGAUCAUAAGCAUCCACAUCGGGCAGGCGGGCAUCCAGGUGGGGAAUUCCUGCUGGGAGCUCUACUGCCUCGAGCAUGGCAUCCAGCCCGACGGCCUCAUGCCCAGUGACACCUCGGUUGGGGUUGCCAAGGAUGCAUUCAACACGUUCUUCAGCGAAACGGGUUCAGGGAAGCACGUUCCGAGGGCCUUGUUCGUUGAUCUGGAGCCCACGGUCAUCGACGAGGUGAGGACGGGGGCAUAUCGCCAGCUCUUCCAUCCAGAGCAGCUCAUCUCCCACAAUGAAGAUGCUGCUAACAACUUUGCCCGCGGACACUACACAGUUGGAAGAGAAGUAGUGGACCUUUGCCUUGACCGGAUCAGAAAAUUGGCGGACAACUGCACUGGUCUCCAAGGCUUCUUGGUUUUCAAUGCUGUCGGUGGUGGAACUGGCUCAGGGCUUGGUUCAUUGCUUCUGGAGCGCCUAUCGGUCGACUAUGGCAGGAAAUCGAAGCUCGGUUUCACCAUCUAUCCUUCACCACAGAUUUCGACGGCCGUUGUGGAGCCUUACAACAGCGUGCUGUCGACCCACUCGCUGAUCGAGCACACCGACGUGGUGGUGCUCCUGGACAACGAGGCCAUCUACGACAUCUGCAAGAGGUCCCUGGACAUCGAGCGCCCGACCUACACCAACCUGAACCGGCUGAUAUCCCAGGUGAUAUCGUCGCUGACCACCUCGCUGCGGUUCGACGGCGCCAUCAACGUGGACAUAACCGAGUUCCAGACCAACCUGGUGCCGUACCCGCGGAUCCACUUCAUGCUCUCCUCCUACGCGCCCAUCAUCUCCGCGGAGAAGGCCUUCCACGAGCAGCACUCCGUCCCCGAGAUCACCAACUCCGUGUUCGAGCCGUCGAGCGUCAUGGCCAAGUGCGACCCCCGGCACGGCAAGUACAUGGCCUGCUGCCUCAUGUACCGCGGCGACGUCGUGCCCAAGGACGUCAACUCCGCCGUCCACUCCAUCAAGACCAAGAGGACCGUGCAGUUCGUCGACUGGUGUCCGACUGGGUUCAAGUGCGGGAUAAACUACCAGCCGCCGACGGUGGUUCCGGGAGGGGACCUGGCCAAGGUGCGGCGGGCGGUGUGCAUGAUCAGCAACAACACGGCCGUGGCCGAGGUCUUCUCGCGCAUCGACCGCAAGUUCGACCUCAUGUACGCCAAGCGCGCGUUCGUGCACUGGUACGUCGGGGAAGGGAUGGAGGAGGGGGAGUUCUCGGAGGCCAGGGAGGACCUGGCCGCGCUGGAGAAGGACUACGAGGAGGUCGGAGCUGAGGGUGAAGACGACGAGGACGAAGGCGAUGAGUACUGA
rnacentral:rRNA from 1 species